CAUAUCCAUUAAGCGGAGGAAAAGAAACCAACAGGGAUUGCCUCAGUAAGGGCGAGUGAAGCGGCAAAAGCUCAAAUUUGAAACCCUCGGGAUUGUAAUUUGAAGAUUUGGCAUUGGAGAAAGCUAACCCAAGUUGCUUGGAAUAGUACGUCAUAGAGGGUGACAACCCCGUCUGGCUAACCGUUCUCCAUGUAUUGCCUUAUCAAAGAGUCGAGUUGUUUGGGAAUGCAGCUCAAAGUGGGUGGUAAACUCCAUCUAAAGCUAAAUACUGGUGAGAGACCGAUAGCGAACAAGUACUGUGAAGGAAAGGUGAAAAGAACUUUGAAAAGAGAGUGAAAUAGUAUGUGAAAUUGUUGAUAGGGAAGGAAAUGAGUGGAGAGUGGCCGAGGUUUCAGCCGCCCCUCGUGGGCGGUGUACUGCCGACGCCGAGUCAUCGAUAGCGAGACGAGGGUUACAAAUGGGAGCGCCUUCGGGCGUUCUCCCCUAACCCUCCACACUGCCACCGACGACAUAAUCCACCCAUUUCACCCGU
rnacentral:rRNA from 1 species